rnacentral:rRNA from 1 species
CCGCAUGCAUACAAACAGUGGGAGCCUCCUUGAGGGGUGACUGCGUACCUUUUGUAUAAUGGGUCAGCGACUUACGUUCAGUAGCGAGCUUAACCGAAUAGGGGAGGCGUAGGGAAACCGAGUCUGAUAAGGGCGCCUAGUUGCUGGACGUAGACCCCGAAACCAAGUGAUCUAUCCAUGGCCAGGAUGAAGGUGCGGUAACACGCACUGGAGGUCCGAACCCACUAAUGUUGAAAAAUUAGGGGAUGAGCUGUGGAUAGGGGUGAAAGGCUAAACAAACUUGGAAAUAGCUGGUUCUCUCCGAAAACUAUUUAGGUAGUGCCUCAAGUAUCACCGACGGGGGUAAAGCACUGUUAUGGCUAGGGGGUCAUCGCGACUUACCAAACCAUUGCAAACUCAGAAUACCGUUGAGUGCGAGCUUGGGGAGACAGACAUCGGGUGCUAACGUCCGGUGUCAAGAGGGAAACAACCC